rnacentral:tRNA from 1 species
GCCUUGGGGUUCAGUGGUAGAAUUCUUGCCUUUGAUGCAGGAGACCUGGGUCAGAUUUCCAGCCACUGCA